AGGGGUAAACUCUAUACCAGGAUAACCUUAUAUCAGUAUAAAAUUGAUUUUAAAUCAUUAAAACUUUUAGAUCUAAUAGAAAAAUCAUAUCAUAUGUGUUUUUAAAAACUUAGCUCUGAUAUUACUAUUAGAAAAUCAGGUAGACAGCAUGUGUAGAUUUUAAAAUUAUUUAAAAAAUACAGUGAAAAAUAAAACAGAUUAAAUCUUUUAACCCCACAUGCAAA
rnacentral:lncRNA from 1 species